rnacentral:rRNA from 1 species
GAUGAACGCUAGCGGCAGGCUUAAUACAUGCAAGUCGAGGGGCAGCAGGACUGUAGCAAUACAGCUGCUGGCGACCGGCAAACGGGUGCGGAACACGUACGCAACCUACCCAAAACUGGGGGAUAGCCCGGGGAAACCCGGAUUAAUACCUCGUAACCUUUUUAAGUGGCAUCACUUGAUAAGUAUAGCUCCGGCGGUUUUGGAUGGGCGUGCGCCUGAUUAGGUAGUUGGUGCGGGUAACGGCCCACCAAGCCUGCGAUCAGUAACUGGUGUGAGAGCACGACCAGUCACACGGGCACUGAGACACGGGCCCGACUCCUACGGGAGGCAGCAGUAAGGAAUAUUGGUCAAUGGACGCAAGUCUGAACCAGCCAUGCCGCGUGAAGGAUGAAGGUCCUCUGGAUUGUAAACUUCUUUUAUGGGGGACGAAACCCGGAUAUUCUUAUCCGAUUGACGGUACCUCAGGAAUAAGCACCGGCUAACUCCGUG